rnacentral:rRNA from 1 species
GUGACGGUACCUGCAGAAAAAGCACCGGCUAACUACGUGCCAGCAGCCGCGGUAAUACGUAGGGUGCAAGCGUUGUCCGGAAUUAUUGGGCGUAAAGAGCUCGUAGGCGGUUUGUCGCGUCUGCUGUGAAAUCCCGAGGCUCAACCUCGGGCUUGCAGUGGGUACGGGCAGACUAGAGUGCGGUAGGGGAGAUUGGAAUUCCUGGUGUAGCGGUGGAAUGCGCAGAUAUCAGGAGGAACACCGAUGGCGAAGGCAGAUCUCUGGGCCGUAACUGACGCUGAGGAGCGAAAGCAUGGGGAGCGAACAGGAUUAGAUACCCUGGUAGUCCAUGCCGUAAACGUUGGGCGCUAGAUGUAGGGACCAUUCCACGU